CGUGGGGAUGCCUUGCAUGCUGGUGUGUGGAUAGCUGGAACAGCUCAAGGAGCUAGCUUUUCUCCUGCUGGCUGCUGCUCCCACUGAAGCAAAUGUCUUGGCCAUACCAUAUGAUCGGCUGUCUUCAUCCUUGUGCAAGAUCAAGUGAUGCCCAUUGCCUUCCUGAGUUGCUUCAUGCCUCUUCUCCAUGCUGCAUCCCACAGAGAUUCCCAACAGCGCUUCAGAAACAAGAGUGACCAAUGCAGCUGCUGCUCAGCUCACCUGGAUGUUCACCAGCUCCCAUGGAAGAAGUAGACAGGCAAGCACCCCUCUGCUUCCUGGCAAUGCAGCAUGGCUCACAGCUUUUUUUUGGAGAAAUGGUUCCUCAAAGGAUGCUACGAAGUGGUAUGCAGUGGCACAGGACUGUGUCUUUCCAGUGGCUCAGGGUGACAGAGAAUUGCCUGCUUGAAACCAGCCCCAGUGCUCUGGAAGUGGGCAGUUGCCAUCGGUAACAUAUCCUUCCUCCAAGUAUUCCAUCCUUAACGGAUGUCUUUUGAGGCAUGGAGUGUGGCGGAGUUGUGGAUAUGCCUCAGGUGCCCUUAUUAGAUGCCUGGAUGCGUUUUGAAAAUGGCUGCUUAGAAAAUGUCUAAUUGCUAUUCCACAUAUUCAAAGUGUUUUUUUCUCUUGACAAGGCUUUGGCAUGCCUUGGAUUGCUAAAUAUACU